CGGCAAACGCUUCACUUGACACAGACGUCAUCAAAGCUCACCUUUAAACAUUCACACAGAGAACCGACAUUUUUUAACAAGGACAAAAUGAUACAAAAAAGGAACUCGCAUGGCUGCAGUUUGUGUGACCCCAAGAUGCAAGAACCAGGAGGAGAAUGAGAAGAGCUGAUGUGAAAACACGCACACCUUGAGACCCAAAUCUAAUCCCCAGCUGUCUGCAUGCAAACAUCCCAAGAGUGAACCCUGGCAGUGGAAGUGGGAACAGCAGCGUCUCCGAGCUGAUUAAGAGAUACUCAGGC